ensembl:miRNA
GUGGGUAGAGGGGUGGUGCCCGGGACUUGUGCCAUGUGGGGACAAAUUUUGAAUCCCCACUCUUGUUCUGAGCACCACCCCUCUCUCAG